rnacentral:rRNA from 1 species
GGCGAACGCUGGCGGCACGCCUCAUACAUGCAAGUCGAGCGAUCGGCCGCUGGGUGCUUGCACCCGGCGGUACGGAGCGGCGAACGGGUGAGUAACACGUGGGCAACCUGCCUCGAGGACCGGGAUAACUCCGGGAAACUGGGGCUAAUACCGGAUGUGCUUUCUGGGCCGCAUGGUCCGUUAAGCAAAUGGUUCUUCCGCCUCGAGAGGGGCCCGCGGCCUAUCAGCUUGUUGGUGGGGUAAUGGCCUACCAAGGCUUUGACGGGUAGCCGGCCUAAGAGGGUGUUCGGCCACACCGGGACUGAGACACGGCCCGGACUCCUACGGGAGGCAGCAGUAGGGGAUCUUGCACAAUGGGCGAAAGCCUGAUGCAGCGAUGCCGCGUGAGGGAUGAAGGCCUUCGGGUCGUAAACCUCUUUCAGUAGGGAAGAAGCCACGGGUCACCGUGGUGACGGUACCUGCAGAAGAAGCCCCGGCUAACUACGUGCCAGCAGCCGCGGUAAAACGUAGGGGGCAAGCGUUGCCCGGAUUCACUGGGCGUAAAGCGGGUGUAGGCGGUUCCUUAAGUCAGAUGUGAAAUCCUACGGCUCAACCGUGGAACUGCAUCUGAUACUGGGGAACUUGAGGACGGUAGAGGUCGGUGGAAUUCCCGGUGUACCGGUGAAAUGGGCAGAUAUCGGGAGGAACACCAGUGGCGAAGGCGGCCGACUGGGCCGAUCCUGACGCUGAGACCCGAAAGCCAGGGUAGCGAACCGGAUUAGAUACCCUGGUAGUCCUAGCUGUAAACGGUGCUCACUUGCUGUAGACGGAAUCGACCCCGUCUGUGGCGAAGCUAACGCGUUAAGUGAGCCGCCUGGGGAGUACGGUCGCAAGAUUAAAACUCAAAGAAGUUGACGGGGGCCUGCACAAGCGGUGGAGUAUGUGGCUUAAUUCGAUGCAACGCGAAGAACCUUACCUGGCCUUGACAUGUAGGUGGUAGAAGUCUGAAAGGAUGACGACCCCGCAAGGGGAGCUUACACAGGUGCUGCAUGGCUGUCGUCAGCUCGUGUCGUGAGAUGUUGGGUUAAGUCCCGCAACGAGCGCAACCCCUGCGUCCUGUUGCCACCCCCUCGAGAGAGGGGAGCACUCUGGACGGACUGCCUCACUCAAAUGGGGAGGAAGGUGGGGAUGACGUCAAGUCAGGAUGGCCCUUACGGCCAGGGCUGCACACGUACUACAAUGCCCGGCACAAUGGGAAGCAAGACCGCGAGGUGGAGCAAAUCCUAAAAACCGGGCUCAGUUCAGAUUGAAGGCUGCAACUCGCCUUCAUGAAGCUGGAAUCGCUAGUAAUGGCGCAUCAGCUACGGCGCCGUGAAUACGUUCCCAGGCCU